AGCAAAUGAUAAUUAAGAACGUAGAGAGAAAUGACAAUCUGCUAGUCGCGUGCCACAUAGGGACAUUUCCCAGCAUGCAAUGCCGGUUGUCAAUGACUCACCGGAACUCGAAGUAAUUCGUGUUCUUAUUGGUCAGGUUAUGCUACGUCACUUGUCAGCUGUACUGCAGAUGAUGUAUCUGAUCCCUACAACAAACGCGAUGCGUAAACACUUUAUCGGCGCUUUUAAUGCACCUUUGCUCACUUAGGCCCCCGAUGACCAUCUAAAGCUACCACGUUUAAAAAUGUUGUUUCAAAAAGUGCGUUUAGUAGCGAUAGGAAGCAAAGGUAGACACGCUCAUGUAAUACACUAGCGCAUAAUCCCCGGUCUAUCAUCCGCCUUAGCGCGCUUUAUGAUUGGUUAACUACUCGCUAGUCGUGACUGGGGUGAUAAAUAAUAUUGGUGGUUUAAUCUUAGAAUCAAUCGAGUACUUAAAACAAGCUUAAGGUGUGUCGGUCUGCAAGCAGCAAGUCGCUUUAAGGGCUUCACAAGUAGGAAACUAACAGACAAUGAAGCUGACGAUAGUAGCCGUUCUUCUCGGCCUCGCCUUGGUGUUGUCAUUCCCGGAUGCUGGUGUAGAAGGAAGGGGACUAGGAAACAUGAUGUUCUGCCAAUCAAAAUGCCAGGAAGCGGCGCUUGGUGCAUGCCGGUUCUGCGAGGAGAGCAAAUCGCAGCUAUGGUGCCUUAGAGAGUGUAGAAACACGUUCUUCGUAGAUUGCUUCAAGAGCGAGUGCUUGGACAACAGUGCAUGAGAGCGUAUGAUUUUCGCUGUAUAUUGACAUUUGUUCUUUGAAAGGACUUUAGAAGAGCUUUGUGUUAGUUGUAACCAGUUGCGAAACCAUAAAGAAUUGCAUAAAACUGUAAAGAAGAUAAACCCAGUAUUUAUUUAAGCAUAACAGUCCCUGUUAUGGUACCCUGGUUCCAGAGCCUCGUGCGUCUCUCUAUUUAGGGGCCAGCUGGCCACUGAACAGAGAGACGCUCGAGGCUCUGGGACCAGGGUACUGUUAUGGGGAGGGGAAUGAAAUACCACAAUAUUUUGUUAACAAGUUAUAAUUGCCGUCGCUGGUCCAAGGUUGUUCACUAUAGCUGAAUGACACUCAAUUUUACUCAUAAUUUUGUCUAUGACUGACACGUCCCCAACCCUUCUCUCCAUCCCAAAACGUAUAUAUUCAAGGGCACAAAACGGAUCUGUUCCGCAAAAUAUAUGUUCCGCAGCCCAUUUUUUUUGCUGGCUUGGAAGAUGUUAGACUCCUCGGUUGCUGGGAAAAAAAUCGUCCCGAUUACGGACGGUUUUUGCAUUUAGCACCAUAACUUUUUAGCAAUAAAAAGGACACUUUUGAGAUUUUGCCAGUAACAAGAUUGGACCUUAACCUAAAAAAAUACUUAUAAUAUAUAUAAAUAUAAGUUUAGAGCGCUGUGCUCGAAAAGUAUGUGUCAGUGAUUUGCCCUAAUCCCGGUCAACUGGCCCCAAUUCCGGACACAAACUGCGCGAACUAUUUGCGUAACUUUUCCCAUAUAUUUCCAAUGCUUAUAAAAUUUUAAAAAAUUAUCUUGUUUAGCAAAGCCAAUUUUUAUUAUGUGGAUCAUUCAUUCAUUCAUUCAUUUUUUUAUUUUGCACUAUUUUGAAUAAGAUAAAGAAUAUUUGGAUACAGGUA